AAGGUAAACUUGGAAUUGAUAGUACAAAAAUAAAACAGAAUAGGCCUUUUAUCCGGGAUUGGCUAUUUUGUAACUAUUUUACAUGUGCAGUUGAAUUAGUUUUGAAAAUAAUAUUAUCCAGCUACAUGUAUACAUGUGUCAAUGAAACAACGGCAAUCGUAUCCCUCAGAGCAAUCUGCUCUUUGAUUAUAAUAGUUUUUGAGAACUUUAACUGGUCAAUGAUAAAAUCAAGAGAGAACAUUUUCCCGUCAGAUUUCCAGUGGCUAAUAUCUCGAAAACAAGCACAUUGACCCCUUUAUUUGUUUUGCUUUUUUUAUUCCUCAAUAAAUACCCUAUCAAUAAAUACUAGUGUUAUAGAAAGCUUUUUAUUUUGAAAAUGAACAGCGAACUUCCUUAAAUUAGAAAAUCAAGAAUUUUUAUUAUUUUGUUCAUGAAUUAAAUAAGCAACGGUAAACAUAUAUUUUCCGUUUAUACGCCAAAGAAAAUGUCUUGUUUCCACCAGAGAAUUAUUUAGUACCCCCUGCUUAUCAGCAUACGAAAUCGGUAGGGUAUAUUGUUUUUCUUCUUAUAUUUUUACUUAUUAGGAAGAAUCAGAGAGGGUCUUGAAGAUCAAACAAAAGAUAUCGAGUGAUCAUUUGCUUUAUAAAUGUAUAUCCUCAAAUAUUGUUAUAUCGUCUCAGUGUUUUCUCCUAAACUGAAAAUAUUUACUAUUUCUUUGGUAGGUUCUUGUUUAUAAAAAAUACACAUUAUAGUUUAAUUCAUUCACAAUAACAGUCCAAACACAACAACAUGUAAAUUGAGUGCUAUUGCUCACUAUAAGUAACAACGCUCAAUUUUAUUGACAUUUCAUGGUUCUGAAUGACGCUUGUAAUGUCUAGAACAGCUCAUUCGGACCAGGUCACAUAUUACAUACAAGAAAGCCGCACUUGUACGACUUUGCCGCAGAGCUAUAGAAAAACAGUACAUUAACGGUAAACUGGAAUCAGCUUGUAUUACGCUACACUCAACAAAGUGUAGUAGUCAGCCGAAAACCAGCUUACAUUAACGGGUGUUACGCAGAUAAUUUGAAGGUAAUACACGGACACUUUUUAGUUGUGACACGGACUUUUUUAAUGAAUAUAAUAAUAAAAAAAAUGUAUACAGUUAUUUUGCGCUGGCAAUAAUAACUAUUUUUCAAACUCCUCCAGUAUAUUACUAUUCAUAUCAGUUUAGUAAGUUCAAGAUUAUCCAGAAUAAAAAAAAAAAAA
rnacentral:lncRNA from 1 species